rnacentral:rRNA from 1 species
AUUGAACGCUGGCGGCGGGCCUAACACAUGCAAGUCGAACGAGUGGCGGACGGGUGGGUAAUGUAUGGAAAAGUGCCUGAUGGAGGGGGAAAACUACGGGAAACGGUAGCUACUACCGCAUAACAUGCGUUGUGCCCAGGUGGGAUUAGCUAGUAGGUGGGGUAAAGGCUCACCUAGGCGACGCUCCCUAGCUGGUCUGAGAGGAUGACCAGCCACACUGGAACUGAGACACGGUCCAGACUCCUACGGGAGGCAGCAGUGGGGAAUAUUGCACAAUGGGCGCAAGCCUGAUCCAGCCAUGCCGCGUGUAUGAAGAAGGCCUUCGGGUUGUAAAGCACUUUCGGCGAGGAGGCGUUACUCACAGAGGAAGCACCGGCUAACUCCGUGCCAGCCGCCGCGGUAAUAC